GUGUGGGCAGAGACAGGUGUGUUGCAGACCCUCCAACAUUUCUGCUUGCAGGUAAAACCUGCAUGUGUGAGGAAUGCAUGGCAUCUAAUGUCAGUCCUCCCUUCAGUUGCUGUCACUUGAAAGAAAUUGUAUGUGUUUGUUUAACAAACAUAAAUUAAGUGCCUACUGUGUACCCACACUUCUAGAUCCUGCAGUUGCUGCCGCCACAGCUGUGAUUAGGGCAAGUCUCAGCUCCCUGGAGUGAGUGCUCCUGUGGGCCAUCAGGUGACGUGGGGACAGAUGCCACAGAGGAGUGCAGAGGAGGGACCAGGGAGCGCUGUGGGAUCCAGGCUCUCUGAGAAGGUGAUGCGUGAGCCGAGGCCCAGGGUUGGGGUGGGGUGGUGCCUGGGUGAGUGGAUCAGGUAGGGAGGCAGCGGGCUGGCGUGAGAAUGAGGCAGGAGGCCCAGCCGUGGGGAACUGGAGAUCCUGCCUGUUUGAGAUGGAAGCCACUGAACAGAUGAGGACUGCAGUUUGGAGUCAGAGGAGGAUGGUUUACUGCCUCUGAUUGGCACACAGCCGCCGGUGUGUGUGCGUUGUGUGUGUGCAAUGGUGAGGCCACUGUGCACCCGGGUGGCUGGCUUCUCAUGGGUUAAACACAAACUCACCACACCAGUCAGCACUCACGUCUUUACCCUGGAUCCUUUUCUAGAAAGGAUCUGAAAAGUAAACAUUUUAGACUUUGAGGGCCACAGUCCCUGUUCCUGUCCCUGUUCCUCUCUGUGGUUGUCCCGCCAGACACACACCAUGAAGUUACAAAGGCAGGCGGUGGAUGAAUGUGGCCUGGGGACUAUUUGCCAACCUAGCCCCAGAAAAUAAAACUUAUGUUUGUGUAAAUAUCUAUACACAGGUAUUUCUACCCAGGCGUAAUCACCAAGUGCUGGAAGCGACACAAGCGUCCUUCGAUGGUGAGUGGAUGGCAAGGGCCCCCAGGAGACCACAGGAAAGUCACGUAGAGAAGGCAUUAGCCAAGCAAAGUUCUUCCUCCUGCUGAGGGAACAGAUCCCGUGUGACCUUCACGCCUUCAUGGAUUGGAAACUGCUAAUGUGUGUUCCUUUUGAAAUAUGCAAGAUGCUGGGCGUGAUUAAACUGAGGGAAGGUUAAGGUGAGUUACUCCUUUGUUUAAACUUUGGCUUCUUGGGUAGUCUUAUUAAGGGGGGAUUUAAAGUGCUUAAAAAUUCAAUAGGACAAAGGGCAUAUUGUGGUUCAAGACUGAUGUAUUGCCAUACAGGAUGCGAUCUGUUCCAAGGGCCAUAAAGCAGUCAAGGGAGCUCGCUGUGGUUGGAGCCGGCCAAUUAUAACACCUCCUGAAGUCACAGGGAUGCAAUCUGCACGCUCCUGCAGGCUCCUGGGAUGGCUUGGCUGGCAGCUUGGACAGCUGGGCUCCUCCAGGCACUUCCGAGCCCCCUUCCGUCCUGUCAGGGUCAUCCUAGCCAUUCCCCUGUGGCUGUCUCCCUAGCCAGUGGCUAAAGUCACCUGCA
rnacentral:lncRNA from 1 species